ensembl:lncRNA
UAAAAAUGGAGACAUCAGCGUUCCGCUAUGUCCUACUUGAAUGGACUGAGGGUGAUGAUCGUGGGGCGCAUAGUAUUUUGGCGAUGGACUGUGUCCGGAACUUUUCAGUUCAAGAUUUUUUUGCCUCGACUGAACAAAACGAGAAGCUGGUGGAAUGACGAAAAGGCCGCCAACCCUGGCCGGUUCACCGAGCCAAAAUUGUUGACGUGGCAAGGAGGGUCUUCCAAAUACAAGCACCAGGAGGGUGAGAAGCAGGAGGAGGGUCAUGACAGACUUUCAAAGAACAAGGUUGCCGUGAAAAAGAAAAAUCUUUCUAAAUACGAGGAGGAGGAGGAGGAGGAAGUGGAUGAUGAGGCACGUCAUGACACAAAGAACAAGCGGGCCAGAGAAGAGGAGGAGCAUAUUGGGGAUGAAGACGACAAAGUACCAGCCUCAAAGAAAAAGAGUGCUGCUGAAUUUAGAAAGCAACUGGACGAACAGAUGUGGGAGAGAAAAAAAAUUGAACAAAUGCAAAGAAAUUUGCAGGAGUUGCGAAAUGAAGUUCAGUCUCUCAAAAGUGAAAAUGCACAUCUGAAAGAUGUUCUGGAAUGGGAAGCAACCUGAAUGAAACUCCACGUCCGCCGUCGCUGGCAGUUAUCGACCAGCUGCUCAACAAACCCCGUGAGCAGAAAGACACACUGAAGCUUGUGGACCAGGACUACGCUGCUCUAGUUCACAACUCCUGUACAGACCCCAACAGCAUGCUCCACCCAACAACAAAACUACAUAUUCUACAAUAUGUAAAGCACCUCAGCAAAUUGUUGAACACC